rnacentral:rRNA from 1 species
UACGGAGGGUGCGAGCGUUGUUCGGAAUCACUGGGCGUAAAGCGCGUGUAGGCGGCCCAUUAAGUCUGAUGUGAAAGCCCGGGGCUCACCCCCGGAAGUGCAUUGGAAACUGAUGGACUCGAGUCCCGGAGAGGAGAGUGGAAUUCCUGGUGUAGCGGUGAAAUGCGUAGAUAUCAGGAGGAACACCGGUGGCGAAGGCGGCUCUCUGGGACGGUACUGACGGCUGAGACGCGAAAGCGUGGGGAGCGAACAGG